rnacentral:siRNA from 1 species
UGCCUAUUUGUGGCUAAAGUUUC